GCCGCUGCGAGAAGGCGGCGCAGGUCGAAUACCAAGAGGUGGGGGCGAAGCUAUCCCACUUGCUUUCCAAACUGAACCCUGCUGCCGAGGAGUCUCUCUCUCUCUCUCUCUUCACUUCCAUGGGACGGCAAAAAGGCGGCGGCACCAAAGCUGAAGCUGACGGCCAGAAGAGUCAUGGCCUCGCCCUGGGCACCGCCUGCGUCGAGGGAGACAGAAUGGGGGUGGACGGCGAGGAGAUGGAGGAGAAGGCCGAGAGCUCCAAUCUCGACGACUCGCCGUUGAUUGGCGCGGACAACACCAGCGCCGACUACUACUUCGUUCCUAUCCCCAUUUCGGUAUCCAUGAAGUUUUUAUUCAUUUCUGAUUCAUGAGCUACUACAGGUUGCCAUCAUGUAUGUGAUGCUGGGGAUGUUCUCAAAUGGCUGACGUGGCAAAAGAAAUAGUUAGAACAAAUGGAUAUUCUGACGUUAUAACUGUGCUAAAAGGGAAAGUUGAAGACAUUGAGCUUCCAGUGGCUCAUGUAGAUGUUAUCAUGUCUGAAUGGAUGGGCUAUUUCCUGUUGUUUGAGAACAUGCUAAACACAGUUCUUUAUGCACUCGAUAAAUGGCUUGGACCACUGGGACUCCAUCAAUGUCAUCCUCUAUUGGCUGCUCCAAAUUAUGUUUUGCCUUAUGAAGAUCAUCUCGUCCCCUUAUUUCCACUGGCUGUGAAUUAGCAUUGCACUGAGGUAGUUUGAUAUUAUUUGGAGUUUUUACUGAGGGUUUGUUUAAGUAAGUAUUCCCUUCAAGAAGUAACUGAGGUGAUGCAGCUAUCAACUUCUGAACCUGUUUCAGUAGAAUGUUAUGGACAGCGCAAGAAGAUAGAGAGCCAAUGAACAUAAUUAGCUGAGCUGAGCUGAGCUGUUGAAACUAACCUCUAUCAAUCUGUGAAGCUCAAACACUUGACGAAGUAAACAAUGAUUUCAUAUUUAUGAAUGUGGGCUAAUGUGAAGUCGGAAUGUUUGUAAUCCAUGCUUGUACCUGUUCACAUCAAUUUUCUCGCAAGCUUAACAAGGCAUUUAAUCUAUUUUGUACAUGCCCAAGAUCAAAGGUUACACACUGGAAACAAA